rnacentral:lncRNA from 1 species
UUGGCCGGCAGGGCAUUCAGUGACCUGUUUUCAUGUCGACUUGGGAGGUAAAAAAACCUCAUAAAGACCGCGUUUUUCUGUGUUUUAUUGAGUAACAUCGCUACUAUCCCAGUGAGCUACCAAUGUUAUAACCUCCAACACUGUCAGGCACAUGAACCAGAGUUCUGAACUUCUGAGUGGACCCAACGAAAUGCCGGUUUCCCUUCGAGACAAACAUGGGCCAGGUGGUUUUCCUCGCUGUGGUGGAUAACGCAACAAUGUCAACAUUACCUAGUGUCCAGAAUUCCAGA